CCCUCCCUCCCGGCCCUCUACACAUCCCCAUCAUCACAAACUUCCAAUUGCUCCAAAAAUCAAUCUCCCAACUUGAACCUUUUCUCAAAACUCUCCAUGCCAAACAUGGUCCUAUCAUCACUGUCCAUAUCGGUUCUCGACCUUCCAUUUUCAUUAACGACCAUACUCUGGCCCACCAUGUUCUCGUUCAAAACUCAUCCAUCUUCUCUGAUCGCCCUACAGCUCUUCCUACUUCCAAAAUGUUGUCCAGCAACCAACACAACAUCAACACCGCUUAUUAUGGCCCAACAUGGCGUACCCUUCGUCGUAACCUUGCUUCCGAGAUGCUUCAUCCAUCCAAACUCAAAUCGUUCUCAGAAAUUCGGAAGUGGGUCUUACGCACUCUCAUCAAUCGUCUCAAAACUGCAUCAGAAUCGGAACUAACGGAUUCUAUUAAGGUUAUGCCACACUUCAAAUAUGCUAUGUUCUCUUUACUUGUUUUUAUGUGUUUUGGUGAAAGAGUUAACGAUGAGAAAAUCAGUGAUAUUGAGCGUGUACAAAGGAAGAUUAUGUUAAAUUUUGGCAGAUUCAAUAAACUGAACUUCUGGCCGAAAGUUACAAGGAUUUUGUUGCGUAACCAAUGGGAGGAGUUUUUGAAGUUACUUAAGGAUCAAGAGGAUGUUCUGCUUCCGCUGAUAAGAGCAAGGAAGCAAGUUAAGGAGAGUAAAUUGAACAAUAUUAAUACUGUUGUUUCAUAUGCAGAUACUCUCUUAGAGUUAGAGUGGCCUGAGGAGAAACGGAAGCUGAGUGAGAAUGAAAUGGUUAAUCUUUGUUCAGAGUUUUUGAACGGUGGGACAGACACUACUUCCACUAGUUUGCAGUGGAUUAUGGCGAAUGUAGUGAAGUACCCAGAAGUGCAGGGGAGGCUUGUGGAGGAGAUUCGGGAGGUGAUGGGUGGUGAUGAAAAUGGAGAGAAGGAGGAAGUGAAAGAGGAAGACUUGCAGAAACUUCGGUAUUUGAAGUGUGUGGUUUUGGAAGGGUUGAGGCGUCAUCCACCGGGGAAAUUUCCGUUGCCACACGCGGUGAAAGAGGAUGUGGUUUUGGACGGUUAUUUGGUGCCUAAAAACGGGACGGUGAAUUUCUUGCUGGCGGAGAUGGCGUUGGAUCCUCGUGUUUGGGAGGACCCGUUGGAGUUUAAGCCAGAAAGGUUUUUGAAGGAUGAGACUUUUGACAUUACAGGAAGUAAAGAGAUAAAGAUGAUGCCGUUUGGAGCUGGAAGAAGAAUUUGUCCCGGACUUAAUUUAGCUUUGCUCCAUUUGGAAUAUUUUGUGGCUAACUUGGUUUGGAAUUUCGAUUGGAAGGUUCCAGAGGGCGGGCAUGUUGAUUUGACGGAAAUACAAGAAUUCACCAUGGUGAUGAAAAAUCCAUUGCAAGUUCAUAUUUCUCCUAGGAUAUAGAUUAUGUGUGUUAUAUGUAACGAUGUGGAGUAUGUAAUGUUGUUGUGUGAACCACCCUAGAUUCUCUGCUUGAGAAUGUCAUAACACAGCAGGGGAGUAUUAUAUGUGGAUUUGUCAUAUGGUGGGAUUUUGUUUCAUAUAAUGAUCCGUUAUGCAUAUAUAUGCCUUCACAUAUGUUAUUGUUCUUUCUUAUAUAUCUUGUUUCCUGUAUAAAUAAAAACUUUGCCUGUCAUUCUUGUAAGUCAAGAUACUUUCAUUGUAAAAAUAUAUGAUCUUUGUUGUAGUAAUAUUGAAGUUGGUUUAUUUUGUUAAUCUGUUUGGUCUUGGCGGUUAUAGAUUAUGUUUCCUCCCUAAACAUCUGUGGUCUUAAAUUAUAGGGUUGUAACUUGUAAUUUUGAGUGUGCAGAAGUGAUGCAUAGAAUAGAGUUAUGGCCAAAGUGAAAUGGUGCUUCAUGAUUUUCUUAAUAAUAAGAGAUCUACUAAAAAGUACCAUAACUAUCAACACAUUGGGAACUUGAACAGUUUCACCUUUCAUUUGAUAGGUUAAAUUGAGUUCAUACAAAUACUAAUUUCUAAUUUUUUAAUACUUACAACAAGUAUCCUAAAGAUACUCUUUAGUAUUUGACGAUUUGCCAUUCUCAAGUCUUCACUUGCAUCAGAUAUUGACUUCAUAUGCUAAUUAGAUAACACUGUUUUCAUUGAUCUUAUGGUUGUAUAGUGUGAUAUGCAAAUAUUGUGGAGGCCAAAUUGAACUUCUUAUUAGACAGGCAGAAGAUUAUAACACAGAGAAGGUUGUGGACGACUGGAGGUGACGUGACGUAUUUAAUUUACAAAUGAUUUUGAUAACGAUUGUACUUGAAACACUCUUUGAAUAUUCUAAAAUACGAAUUAUUCUUUUAGGAAAAUCGAAUAUUUUGAUUUUUAAUACAUUGAAUACACGUGUUUUCAAUACUACUUAUUAUAUAUGGUUUUUAAAGAGUGCUCCAUAAUACUAGUAAACAUUUAUCUUUUUAAAAAGUAGGAAUAAAAAAAUUGAGUAAUCAGAAAAAUUGGUGACCAAUCAUAAGUGUGAAUAAAAAUAGAGCGAAUAGAUAAAUUGAUCCUCAAAAUUAUAAAAAAUCUAUCAAAAUAGUCAUUGAUUUUUUUGCCACAAAUUCUUUCAUAACUCUUGUGGUUAUAAUUUGUAAAAAAAAAAAAACUUUUGUUGGUAUAAGGUAGGACCAGCAUUCUAUAUUGAGGCUGUAACAAAAAAACAAAACAUUCUAUAUUGAGGUGACAUUGACAAUGACGUAGGACCAACCUUCAAUUAUAUAUCACGUCACAGUAACAACAGAGAGAUCAUUUUUCAAAUGAAUGUCAUGGAAAAUUUCCAUUUCCAUUGGAAAUCAUACUAGAAAACAGAGAGAAAAUUAUUACCUGAUAGCAAUAUCACUUAGUUAGCUAUUGCUUGCUGCGCAAGUAACUGAGCUUAAUUAGGAUUAUAUUUCUCUUUAGUUUGUCCAUAGUAGUUUAUCAUGCAUUUAGAUUCUUGUAUAUAUACCGGUUGUAAGCUCUCAUUUGAUCAAUAACAAUUCAUUCUAUUCAACCCACUUAGGUUGAUUUGUUGGUAUUGGCUUGAGAUCUGGGAGUGUACUCCUCCUCCUCGAGGUCUCAGAUUCGAUUUUCUUCGGUGUCAAUUUGAAUGGGCUAAUUUAGCUUCUUCAAAAAAAAAAAUCAUUCUAUUCAUUUUACUUGGUUUCCUAAUAAAAAUAUCUCAUCUUGUAAUCGUGGUUCAAUAGAAAUUAGAAUGAAUGAAAAGACUUCAAGGAAAAUGCUCAUAUACAAGCAAUAGAAGAAAUCUGCUAUAACAUAUUCAGUUAGAGAUUACAGUUCAAAAGCUUAUCUAAUUAAUCAACUCCAAGUGUGUAACAGUUUUAGAAGAACACUUCUAUGGUCAAAACCCCAAAUAUAAUUCAUUCGCACAUUUACAAAACUUGAAAAAGGUACAAUAGAAGACAAUUGAAUAAAUCCUAAAAAAAAUUGAAUAUAUAAUGUGUAUUUUUGACAUAAUUAAAUAAAAUGUAUUGUUAUGUGUGUGUGGCCACAUAAUUUUUAUUUUGGCAUGUGAUCAUAGAAAUAUUUCUCACAAUUUUAAAUAACAUUUUACUAUUUAAGAGGUGUAUUUGUAAUACAAAAAAUAAUGAGCUAGUUUAAUAGAUUCCUACAAACCUAUCUAACUAGGACCACUCAUUUUUGUACACAAUAAGGACAGUACAGACAUAUUGUCGUGCCACAAAAGUAAUCCACUUCAGAUCAUAUAUUAUGGGUACUGUUUUGUCUAUCCAAAAAGGACAAUAUUUAAUUUUGAAAAAACAUAUUUUAUUCUUAUUAAGAAUUCUGAAAUUUUAUUUCAAAGAUUUAUAUAUAACGAUAAAGAGUGAGUAUCAUAUUAAUGUAUAGAGAAAAAACAUGUUUGAUGAACAUUUCCUUCAGAUUCAACGGGUGAAACUAUUGCAAUUUUAGCCUAUACUUUUAAUUUAAAUUAGAACCUGGCCAUUCACAUUUAACGCAUAAAUAUUGCCUUUGUUUAUGGAAUUUUUUGCUUAUCUUCUUAUUCCUAAACAAAGCUUUGUUGCUCUAACUUUAACCUAAUAUUUUAACCCUAAUAUUUUAGCAACUUUUCCCUCCUUUAAAACCUAACCAUAUUUCCUAAUUCUCCUCCUCCAAACCUUAACCAUCUAACUUCACUCCUCCUAAACCAUAUUUCCUAAUUCCCCUCCUCCAAACCCUAACCAAUAUAUUUUAAUCCUUUCUCCUAAACCGAAAUCUCUUUUUAAAACAAUACCUUUCUCUCCUCCAAACCCUCACCAAUAUAUUUUAAUCCUUUCUCCUAAACCGAAAUCUCUUUUCAACAUGGCUUCCAGAAACAUUCAGACUUUGCUGUGAUACCACUGCCUCACUGGUAACCAUAUCUUCAUUCCACUCUGGUUUAAACUAAAUAUAUAGAUUUUUGCUCUUAUUCCUCGCUGUUUUAAAGUAUAAAUCAUUCUUUAAUCCCUUUCAAUCUUUUGUAGGUCCGUUGGUGAAAAACCCUUUUUCCGAUCUUGACAAAGCAAUCAACAAGCUCAGACUGAAAUACAGAUCAUAUAUCGUUGAAUAUGACAUUGAUGUUGUAUGUGCUUUUUGCGAAAUAUACCUAUUCUUAAUUAUUUGCAUUCUAUUUUUAUCAAUGUUUGUGAUGUUUUUGUUUGUUAUUUUUUUAGGGUGCAGUAUGCUUGCUUAACAUGUUUGGCGGUGAUUUCGGAGAUCAAAUUGGGCGCUAUGCAAUAUUGACAGAUCCUAAGUCCAACAAGGUGUGAAGAUCAGAGGGGGUGCUCCGAUGGUUGGGUCACAUGAUACCAUCUACCUUGAUGUUAUUUACAAUUAGCCCAUGUUUAGAUAAAUUGUGCAAGACCUUUCCAAUUUGAAUUUUAAGUUUUAGUUUCUUAGAGUUUUGGAAGCAUCUAUUUUUUUUGUCUUUGAAUUUGGCAAAUGUCCCUUGAAUUUCAUAAAUAAUUCAGCCUUGCUUGCUUUGCUUUCGGAUUUAUAUAUUUGUGUUUGUUUUUGUGUUGCUGAAUCAAUUUAGUAGCAUGGCUGUGUUACUGAAGCAUUUUAGUAACAUUUUUAGUAACAUUAUUAGUAACAAUUACUAGAAUCAAUUUAGUAGCAUAGCUGUGUAACGUCUCCUCUUAACAUUAUUACUAACAAUUACUAAUCCUAAUCUCUAAAAUAUGUUUUGGGUGGAAACAAACUAAAAUCCUAAUCCUAAUUUCUCUCAAUCAAGUAACUAAGAGAUUUCAUCCACAUCUCUAAACUAACUUUUUGGUGGAAAGAAACUAAAAUCCUUAUUUCUAUAAUUCAAAUAAUUAGGGAAUUUCAUCCACAUCUCUAAAAUAUGUUUUGGGUGGAAACAAACUAAAAAUCCUAAUUCCAGUCAUUCAAAUAACUACUAAAGAUUUCAUCCACAUCUCUAAAAUAUGUUUUGGGUGGAAACAAACUAAAAUCCUAAUCCUAAUUUCUGUCAUUCAUGUAACUAAGAGAUUUCAUCCACAUCUCUAAACUAUGUUUUUGGUGGAAACAAACUAAAAUUCUUAUUUCUCUCAUUCAAUUAAUUAGGGGAUUUCAUCCACAUCUUUAAAAUAUGUUUUGGGUGGAAACAAACUAAAAAUCAUAAUUCCUCUCAUUCAAGUAACUACUAAAGAUUUCAUCCACAUCUCUAAAAUAUGUUUUGGGUGGAAACAAACUAAAAAUCCUAAUUCCUCUCAUUCAAGUAACUACUAAAGAUUUCAUCCACAUCUCUAAAAUAUGUUUUGGGUGGAAACAAACUUAAAUCCUAAUCCUAAUUUCUUUUUAAGUAACUAAGAUAUUUCAUCCACAUCUCUAAUCUAACUUUUUGGUGGAAACAAACUAAAAUUCUUAUUUAUCUCAUUCAAAUAAGUAGGAGAUUUCAUCCAUAUCUCUAAAAUAUGUUUUCGGUGGAAACAAACUAAAAAUUCUAAUUCUUCUCUCAUUCAAGUAACUAAGAGAUUUCAUCCACAUCUCUAAAGUAACUUUUUGGUGGAAACAAACUAAAAUCCUUAUUUCUCUCAUUCAAAUAAGUAGGGGAUUUCAUCCACAUCUCUAAAAUAUGUUUUGGGUGGAAACAAACUAAAAAUCCUAAUUCCUCUCAUUCAAGUAACUACUACACAUUUCAUCCACAUCUCUAAAAUAUGUUUUGGCGAAUCAACUAUGGUAAUUCUUAAGUCACAAAAAAUGCCAAUUCUUAAGUAAAACAAAGUGCCCCAUCAACAAUAUUAAUUUCAUUUUAUUCAUAUUAAUCUUUAUCCUAAAAUGUUGGCCACUUCCUAAUUUUGUUCCACUAUUUUGUGCUUAUCUAGAUAACUAAUACUCUUUAUAUCUCAACCGACAUAUCCUACUCACACGUAUUCCACCUUUUCCUAUAAAUAUAUCAUAACCUAUUAGCCAAACCAUCUCAAUCUAAAUAAGCAUCCUCUUUCUUGGAAAGGAAAAAACAAGCCAAUGAUGUCUGCCAAAUACACUCCAAUCUCAGCUGUUUCUGGAUGAAGAAAGAAUUUCAAGAUGUGUGUGCGAGUUGCUCACAUUUGGUUGAUUCGAGAGAAGAAGGUCCCCACUAGCAUCAUUUUCAUGAACAUGUUAGUGGUCGAUGAAAAGGUUUCUGCAUGUUUGCACUCUUAGCUUUAAAAUUAAACUAAUGUCAUUGUUGUUUUUUAGUUAUGUAAUUUAACCAGCUGUUUAAUGUUGUUGUUGUCGUCAAUAGGGUGGACGUAUUCACGCCACAUCUAGAAAAGAUUUGGUGGCAAAGUUCAGGUCCAUGGUUCAAGAAGGGGGUACAUAUCAGCUUGAAAAUGCAAUGGUAGGUUUUAAUGAAAGUCCUUAUAAGGUAACUUCACACAAACAUAAGCUUAGUAUGAUGCACAAUUCAAAUUUUACCAAAGUACACUCGCCUGCUAUCCCUAUGAACGUUUUUGAGUUCAAGCCAUUCAAUGAAAUUCUCUCUUCAACUGUCGAGGAAGUAUCUACGGAUAAGACUUCAAUUCUGAAUGUGUGUUGUACAUUAUUUCUACCUAUAAGCAUUCGUUUAGGAAUUUCAUACAUUUGUUUUUGCUUUUGUAUACGUAAUUUCAGAUGUUAUUGGUCAUGUAAUUGAAAGAGGUGAUAUAAGGGAAACUGAAAAGGACGGAAGGAAAAACAGGGUUAUUGAUCUCACUUUAGAAGAUCUUGAGUAAGAUUUGUCUCUUUCUUUGUACCUGGUUGUAAUAUAAUUUUAAUAUACCUUAUGUUCCUGAAUUGAUAUUUUGGUAAUAUUUUAUUACAGAAACAACCGCUUGCAUUGCUCUCUUUGGGGUGAACAUGCAGACAAAAUUGUGACCUUUUAUGGCAACCAUGACAACGACACACCUACUAUAUUGAUAUUGCAGUUUUGCAAGACACGCAUGUAUUUAGGUAUGUCGUGUUUUAAGUUUGUGCUUUCUGCUGAUAUCAACAAUGAAAUGUGAAAUUAUGUUCACUUGCAAUUGAUUUUUAAAAAAUUAGGUGCUAUGGGAGUUGCUAAUGCCUUUAAUGGGACUAAGCUGAUACUUAAUGGCGAUUUUCCUGAUGUCGCUGUGUACAUGACACAGUAACCAUUUACAUUUUUAUAUGCUUUAGAAUAAAGGCAAGUUUUUUUGGUCGUAAUUAAGUUGUCUGGAGGUCUCACCACUCUUCUAUUAACAUUGGUGCCCUUUUAUUAGAAUGAAAAAUGCAUCAAUACAGUUCACCCGAAGUGUCAGCCAAAUUUCAACGAAUAGCUCAGCGUCUUUAUCAGAUGACUUGCUCAACACUAAUCGAAUGACAAUUGAAAGCAUGAUUGAGUCAACUGAGGUAGCUAUCUGUUUAUUGAAAUUUUUAGAUGUCGUUUUGGAUUCAUCUUUGUUAUUUUUCACAUGGACAGUUGUACAUGGCAAUAUCACGGGUUACUUCGAGGGGUGGUUUAAAGAUAUUGAUUAAUGACGACGACGGCGAUGAUACCGAUGUUGCAAGUGUGGUCUACAGAAAAGUUUUCCGUAAUGUGUAGGACUUUUUUGUGUACUAUUCAUUUUCUUACUUAUUGAAACUAUUUGCAUAUCAACGAACUUCAGUUUCCCUUUUAAAAUUAUAUGUUUUGUUAAAGUAAUAGGAACUACGUACUAGAAUUAUGGAACAAUAACAAAGUCUAUGGUAAUUGACAUUUUGCUUUGAUUCACGAUAAUUUUUUCAUUCAAGCGAACUACAGUGUCUUAUUUUUUCAGUGAGUAUUAAUUUUUUUAAAUGACACGUGCGUUAACACGGGUCAAUGGUCUAGUAUGGUGUAAUCAGCAUUUAUAUUUUGUGUAGUAGUGAAUGAAUGGAUUGUCACUAAAAAACUUGGAAAUGCUCUUAAGGGAGGGAGGGAGAGAUGUGAUAAGAGGAGUAUUAAUUUUAUUAUUAAAAUCAACUCAAAUAAAUAUUUUGUUAAAACGGAGCAUAUCACAUAUGCCACAAUUAAGACGAGACAGAUAAUAUUUUUAAUUGUUAAUUAAAAUUAGCAUUUGACAGGACAUUAAUUAAAAUGAUUAAUUGCGUAAACAAAAUGCAUAAAAUUACCCUUCAUCACAAAUUAUAAGUCAUUUUGAAGAAAAAAAUUAUCCCAAAGUAUAAACCAUUUUAUAAUACAAAUGAAACAUUAAUGAUUAUUUUUUUAUUAUACCAUUGACUAUUUAAUACUCUUUUAUAAAAGAUAAUUUUGUAAAACUACUUAUAAUUUCAUUUUUCCCGUAUAAAAUUGAUUACAUGUCUUAAAUCAUAAAAGUACAAAGGGUUUGUUGCUAAUGGCACUUCCUCCAUCCAAACCAAUUUUGGUUAAGUAUGGGCUAGUUGGGCCAGAUUAUGUGCAAUCUUGUUUCGUGAUCUAGGGGUAAAAUUAAAGGACAUGUGUCAAAAGAGGAUUGCUCCUUACGGAUUUGUUUUUGGAUAAUGUACCCAAGAUAAGAUGUAUUUAUCACACUUUCCUCUUUCACUUUGCAAAUCAAAAUUUUACUAUCCUGGAUAAUGGUAGAAACUAUUUAUAAUUUGGGACGGAGGUAAUACUGUUUUGAAAUUAAAAUAAUCAAGGGUCAUAAGUAUAUAACCAUUUUCCUUAAAAAAAAAAAAAAAACUUCACCUUAAAUGAAAUGAGGAAUGCUAACAACAUAUUUUUUAACACAUACUUUUCAACACACCUUCUUGAUUGGUUAAAACUCACAUAGUCCAACCAAAUUUAUAUGGGACUCAUAUGAUUAGAUGGGAAUCAUGUGAAUUUUAACCGAUCGAAGAAAGUGUGUUGUUGAAAAAUGUGUUUUAAAAUAUGUGUUGCUAGUUUUUCUUUAAAUGAAAUUUGUUUGUAUGAGAAGGAGAGACAUAAUACCACAUCCAUAAUAAUAACAACAAUAUCAUAUGAUUUCCCUAAAAAAGUAAAAAAUAAUAUCAUAUGAUUUGUUUAUAUAAAUGCUCCUCAUUCUCAUUUUUUGUGUCACAGAUAUAUCCAUCCCCACAAAAGAGUAAAGUUGCACCAAACUUUUACACAAUGGAAACAUGGUUCAUUGUCCUCAUUACUCUCUGCAUCAUCUUCCUCAUCGGAGUCAUUCUUGCCUCCUUCACAACCACCGUACCCUUCCCUCCUGGCCCUCCACACAUCCCCAUCCUCACAAACAUUCAGUUGCUCCGAAAACCAUCCUCCCAACUUGAACCUUUUCUCAAAACUCUCCAUGCCAAACAUGGUCCUAUCAUCACUCUCCACAUCGGUUCUCGACCUUCCAUUUUCAUCGAUGACCAUGCUCUGGCCCACCAUGUUCUCGUUCAAAACUCAGACAUCUACUCUGAUCGCCCUAAAGCUUUUCCUACUUCCAAAAUGUUGUCCAGCAACCAACACAACAUCAGCUCCGGUUUUUAUGGCCCAACAUGGCGUACCCUCCGUCGUAACCUUGCUUCCGAGAUACUUCAUCCUUCCAAAACCAAAUCGUUCUCAGAAAUUCGGAAGUGGGUGUUACACACUCUCAUCAACCGUCUCAAAACCGCAUCGGAAUCUGCAGAUUCUGUCACGGUUGUUUCUCCCUUUCGUUAUGCUAUGUUUAGCUUACUUGUUUUUAUGUGUUUUGGUGAAAGAGUUAACGAUGAGAAUAUCAGUGAUAUUGAGCGUGUGCAAAUGACAAUUAUGUUAAAUAUCGGCAGAUUCAAUAUACUGAAUUUCUGGCCGAAAGUUACAAGGAUUUUGUUGCGUAACCGAUGGAAGGAGUUUUUGAAGUUACUUAAGGAUCAAGAGGAUGUUCUACUUCCGCUGAUAAGAGCGAGGAAACAAGUUAAGGAGAGUAAAUUGAACAAUGUUAAUACUGUUGUUUCGUAUGCAGAUACUCUUCUAGAGUUGGAGUUGCCCGAGGAGAAACGAAAGUUGAGUGAGAAUGAAAUGGUUAAUCUUUGUUCAGAGUUUCUGAAUGGUGGGACGGAUACUACUUCCACUACUUUGCAAUGGAUUAUGGCGAAUUUGGUUAAGUACCCAGAAGUGCAGAGGAGGCUUGUGGAGGAGAUUCGGGAGGUGAUGGGUGGUGAUGAGAAUGGAGAGAAGGAGGAAGUGAAAGAGGAAGAAUUGCAGAAACUUCGGUAUUUGAAAUGUGUUGUUUUGGAAGGGUUGAGGCGUCAUCCACCGGGGCAUUUUCUGUUGCCACACGCGGUGAAAGAGGAUGUGGUUUUGAACGGUUAUUUGGUGCCUAAAAAUGGGACGGUGAAUUUCAUGCUGGCGGAGAUGGGGUGGGAUCCUCGUGUUUGGGAGGAUCCAAUGGAGUUUAAGCCAGAAAGGUUUUGGAAGGAUGAGAAUUUUGACAUUACAGGGAGUAAGGAGAUAAAGAUGAUGCCGUUUGAAGCUGAAAGGAGAAUUUGUCCUGCACUUAAUUUAGCUUUGCUCCAUUUAGAAUAUUUUGUGGCUAAUUUGGUUUGGAAUUUCGAUUGGAAGCUUCCAGAGGGCGGCUAUGUUGAUUUGUCGGAAAAACAAGAAUUCAAUAUGGUGAUGAAAAAUCCAUUGCAAGUUCAUAUUUCUCCUAGGAUAUAGAUUAUGUUUUUUAUGUGUAAUGAUAAAUCGUAUGUUCCUGUGUGAACCACUCUAGAUUCUCUGCUUGAGAAUGUCAUAACACAGCAAAGAAAUAUUAUAUGUGGAUUUUGGCUGUUUUUUCCGCGUUUGCGGCCCCUUGUAUUGUUGUUUUAGCGUUCUUUGGUGCUUUUUGCACCUAGUUCAGCUUAAUAAUAUUUGCAGUUUAAAAAAAAUAUACGUGGAUUUGUCACAUUGUGGUAUUUUGUUUGAUACAAUUAUCCCUUAUGCGCAUACAUAUAUGCCUUUAAUAUCAUAAUUGUUCAUUCUUAUAUAUCUUGUUUCUUGUAUAAAAUAAAACAUGCAUGGUCCCCGUGAGCUUAGCUCAGUUGGCAGGGACAAUGUAUUAUUAUAUGUAGGGGUCGGGGUUCGAACCCCGGACACCCCACUUAUUUACUUUAAAAGUGAAUUUCUAACCACUAGGCUACCUGACCAAAAAAAAAAAAACAUGCAUGGACUUCCUGUAAGUCGAGAUACUUUCACCAAAAGUGAUGCAUAGAAUAGAGUUAUGGCCAAAGUGAAAUGGUGCUUCAUGAUUUUCUUAAUAACAAGAUCCACAGAUGUAUAUAGCUUGUUUCUCGACCUGAGUUAAUCAUCAUCAAUUUCUGUAUCAACAAUCUUCUACUUCUAUUUGAAAUAGUAACAUGUGUUCCUCUCAACAGGUCUAUUAAUAAGUACCAUAACACAACAAUCAACACAUUGGGAACUUGAACAAUUUCACCUUUCAUUUGAUAGGUUAAAUUGAGUUCGUACAAACAGUAGAUUAUAUAGUUAUAGCAUGAAAUUGAUAAAUAAUAAUUAUAAUAAUUUACUCAAAAUAAUAUUAGAAAUAAUGGUCACUUACAUAAAGAAAAAAAUAAUAGAUUAAUAGUCACUUAACAACAACAACAAAAAAACAAAAAAACUUAAAAUAUCUGUUUAGGACUUUUGAAACUUAAAAAACUUAUUUGAGACUUUUAAAACUCAAAAGACCACUUUAAAAAAAACGAAAAACUUAAAGCAGAUUGACCUUUAAUAUUUUCUUACAAUUUAGAGUAAUAAUUUAAUUACACCUACCUAUCUAACUAGGACCAAAUCUUUCCAAAAAAAGAAAAAACUAACUAGGACCACUCAUUUGACAGGGAUAUUGCAUAUUAUAUGCAGGGGCCGGGGUUCAAACUCUGGACACUCCACUUCUCCACAAUUUAAUUGUGUGAGUUCUAGCCAUUAGGCUACUUAAAAAAAAAAAAAAAAAAAAAGAACAGACGUAGUGUGGUACCACAAAAGUAAUCUACUUCGGUUCAUAUAUUAUGGAUAUAGUACAGACAUAGUGUCUAACCAAAAAGGACGAUAUUUAAUUUUGAAAAAACAUUUUUUAUUCUUAUUAAGAAUUCUGAAAGAAAAAAAAAAUUAUACAUAAUGAUAAAAUUAACAUAUUAACAAUUAUAAAAUAUUCAAAUGUCUAGAUGAAAUAAAUAACUUUGUACUAUUUAGAAAGAAAUCUUUUAAAUCAAAAUGACAUUAUUUUUAGCUAUGAAAGAAAACAAUUUUUUUUAAUGAAGUUAGUUAACCACCAUUCAACGCUUAAUACAUGCUUUGAUCCCUUAACUUAUUUUUGGAUUUCAUUUUGAUCCCCUAACUAUAAAGUGUCUCAAUUUGGUCCCUUAUGUCUUCUGCCGUUACCUCUUUUGGUCCUCUCCGUUAGUUUGUUUUCAAAAAUAGUUAACCCUUGUCCACAUGUCAUUUAAGAUUGGAGAUCAAGGGCUAGAUUUGAAAAGUACACAAGUAUACAAUGGGCUCACAACAUAUAAUCAUUUCUAUUUUUCUUGAUUUCCUAAAAAUAUAAAUUUAAAAUCACCAUCAAUUUACAUCUUUUUUAAAUAAUUUGUAUCCAGAUUUUUAAAAAUUAAAAUAUUUUUCAGAAUUUUGUAGGAAAAAAAAAAUCUGACCUUUUUUAAAAAUUUCGUAAUAUUUUUUUUUUUUUCAAAUUUUGAAAAAGAUUUUAUAAAAUUCAAGAAUAACUUUUUUUUUCAUAUUUUAUAAAAAUCUGAAUUUUUUUUAUAUAUUUUUCAAAAUUAAAAUAUUUUGUAGAAAAAAUUAAAAAUAACCUUUUUUUUUCGUAAAAAAAUAUGACCUUUUUUAUAACCUUUUUAAAUUCAGAAUUCUGGAUUUUUUAAAUUAAAAUAUUUUCCAGAAUUUUGUAGAAAAAUUUGUAUCGAGAUUUAUUAUAUAUUUUUUUAAAAAUUUGUAUCCAGAUUUUUGUAGAAAAAAUUAAAAAAAACAUUUUUUUUCCGGAAAUCUGACCUUUUUUUUGAAAUUUCGUAAAAAAUUAAUUUUUUUUUCAAAUUUUUAAAUCUUGGAAAAGAUUUUAUAAAAAUUCUGGAAUAUUUUUUUUUCUUCUAAUUUUAAAAUCUGAAUUUUUUAUAUAUUUUUCCAGAUUUUUAAAAAUUAAAAUAUUUUCCAGAAUUUUGUAGGAAAAAAUUAAAAAAAUAAAUUUUAUCAAUUUUUUUAAUUUUGAAAAUGAUUUUUUAAAAAUUCUAAAAAAAAAAUAUGUAAUAUAUAUAUUUUUUCAUAUUUUAUAAAAAAUAUCAAUUUUUUAUAUUUUUGGCUUCAAAAAAAUCAGGUGUUAAUCAUUCAGCGUAGGCUACAAUAAACCUACAUGAUCCAACGGUUUCUAUUUGAAAAAUAGAUCAAACAGUUACAAACUAACGGAGAGGACCAAAAGAGGUAACGGCAGAAGACAUAAUGGACCAAAUUGAGACACUUUACAGUUAGGGGACCAAAAUGAAAUCCAAAAUAAGUUAAGGGACCAAAGCAUGUAUUAAGCCACUCAAAUAUAUAUCCUUUUGACCUAGACCCAAGCCCAAUCAGACAGCAGCGUCGCGCGUGAUAAAUAUUUUUUUUUAAGCGUUCACUCUAUUCACAAAAGUGUGUACCCGUACAUCUUUGGAAGUGAACCCCCUCUUAAUUAUAUAAAUGCUACCUGCAUGUUUUCUCUCCUAUAUGAAACAUUUUUUCAAUUCACACAACACUAGUUAUGGUGGGAAACAACAACUUCCCUUUCCCAUGCUAAACCUCACCUAAAUCAUGUUCUUCAAAUGAUCUAAUGGUCACAAAAUACUUUCUCAUGGUGGAAAACAACUUCCCUUUCCCAUGCUAAACCUCACCCUAGUUAUAUCCAAUAAGACUUUGUAUUAUUCUUCCAAUGUUCACUCAUUUAACUAGUGAACUCAAAUAAGUAUUUUGUUAAAACCGAGCAUAACACAAUUGCGACAAUUAAAAUGAGACUGAGAAUAUCGUUACUCGUUAAUUAAAAUUAGUUUUUGAGAGGACAUUAAAGAGAACUUCUAUGGUACACCUCACAACUCUUGCUUCAUAAAUUUAUAAAUUAACGAUUAUUUUAAAAAAUAAAUAGUUGUUUGUCAAUAUUUAUAUUUUAGAAAACAUCAUUUCACAAGAAAAAAAACGUCAUUUCAUUGUUUAUAAGAAUUAUAUUAAAUUUUUAACAUUUUCUCAUAAAAAAUAAUCAAUAUUCUUUGUUAUGAGUAAUAAAAAUUCAAAAAAAGUAAAUUUUAUUUCUUCGACACUUUUAGCAAAUAAGAUUUAAUUAUUAUAAUUGUCAAUGAUAGAACAUAAUUUUUUUCUUUAAAAAAUAACAACUCAUUUAAUUGUUAAUUUAAGAAUUUAGUGUACCAAUACACUCAAAAUUUUAGGUGUAACAACUUUAGUUGUACCAUAGAAUUUGCUGGACAUUAAUUAAAAUUAUUAAUUGCGCAAACAAAAUGCAUAACAUUACCCUAUAUCACAAAUUAUAAAUCGUUUUGAAUUUUUUUUUUCUCUCAAAUUAUAAACCAUCUUAUAAUAUAAAUAAAAAAUUAAUGUUAGUUUUCCUAUUGUACCAUUGACCUUUUAAUCAAGGUUUUACAACUCGAGAGUUUAUCUUAACUUAUUUUGCUUAGGUAAACUCGACUCGAUAACUCUUACGAGUUUACCUACAACUAAAAUUAUAUAAAAUUUAUUAUAUGCGCCAUGUAUAAGUUAAUAUAAUAUUGUAAAUAGGUCAAUAGUGCAAAAUAUGUCUUAAUUACAAAGGUAAAUUAUACCAAACUACCAUAAUAAAACGUUAUGCUACACUUAGCAUCAAAUUACAAAAAUUAACUCACAAAAUCAUAAGUUUCAUAAGUCUCUAAGUUUAAGCCAUCCAUAAAAACAUCCAAUAAAAAACAAGUUUCACAAGUUCCUAAAGUUGUUAAUAAAACGAGUAGUGAUAUUUGUACAACCAUAUAUGACAACUUUGAUGACAACUUUCAUUUUCUCUCUUCUCAUUGGCCAAAAAUAAUAGAGAGAAAAAAAUGAAGAGAGAAUAAGAAUAUAAUGUGAGUAUGAGAGAUAAAGUUGUCAAAAGGUUGUCAAAAAUUGGUUGUACAAAUAUCAUUUCUCUAAUAAAAUUAUCCAAAAAAUAAACUAAAUAAUUUCUUCAAAAGGUCAAUGCUUCUAAAGUUCCAUAACAUCAUUUUCAUCUAUGUCUUCAUCUCCAACAUCAUCAAAAUGAGCCCAAAAAAUUAUGUAAAUGUAAAGGUAAUUUCAUCUAAAGCCUUAGUUAUCGUAAAGGUAACUAUUCAGUAAAUGUUCUAGUCUUUAGGAUUGUAGAAAAUGAAUUUGGGUUUUGAAAAAAAUGGGCCAAAAAAAUGAGCGAAUUUUUUAUUUUUUUUAUUUUUAGAAGUAAACUCGUAAAACUCGAUCGAGUUUACACGAUUUUACCGAGUGUUAACUUGGUCAAACUUGUCAAACUUUUUGAUUUUACCACAAACCGAAUUUACCUCCGAGUUAACACGAUUUUGGUACAUAAAAACGUAAAUUUAAUAAACUCGGCGAGUUAACACUCGAUUUAUGAAACAUUGAUUUUAAUACUAUUUCCUUUGAUUAUUUAAUUUCUCUUCUAUAUACCAUUACAUUUCUUAAUUUGUUUAAAAUUGUCGAAACUAUUUAUAAUUUGUUUGUUUGUAUGAGGAGAGACGUGUGUUAAGACCACAUCCAUAUAUAAUCAUAUCAUAUGGUUUAUAUAAACCCUCAUCAUCCUCCCUCAAAAAAAAAAAAAAAACCCUCAUCAUCCUCAUGUUUUGUGUCACACACAUAUUCUUCCCCACAAAAGAGUAAAGUUGCACCAAACAUUUACGUAAAUAUAGAAACAUGGUUCAUAGUCCUCGUUACUCUCUGCAUCAUCUUCCUUAUCAGAGCCAUGCUCUCCUUCUUCACAACCACUGUACCCCUCCCUCCCGGCCCUCUACACAUCCCCAUCAUCACAAACUUCCAAUUGCUCCAAAAAUCAAUCUCCCAACUUGAACCUUUUCUCAAAACUCUCCAUGCCAAACAUGGUCCUAUCAUCAUUGUCCAUAUCGGUUCUCAACCUUCCAUUUUCAUCAACGACCAUGCUCUGGCUCACCAUGUUCUCGUUCAAAACUCAGCCAUAAUCUCUGAUCGCCCUACAGCUCUUCCUACUUCCAAAAUGUUGUCCAGCAACCAACACAACAUCAACACCGCUUUUUAUGGCCCAACAUGGCGUACCCUCCGUCGUAACCUUGCUUUCGAGAUGCUUCAUCCAUCCAAACUCAAAUCGUUCUCAGAAAUUCAGAAGUGGGUCUUACGCACUCUCAUCAACCGUCUCAAAACUGCAUCAGAAUCGGAACCAACGGAUUCUAUUAAGGUUAUGCCACACUUCAAAUAUGCUAUGUUCUCUUUACUUGUUUUUAUGUGUUUUGGUGAAAGAGUUAACGAUGAGAAAAUCAGUGAUAUUGAGCGUGUACAAAGGAAGAUUAUGUUAAAUUUUGGCAGAUUCAAUAAACUGAAUUUCUGGCCGAAAGUUACAAGGAUUUUGUCGCGUAACCAAUGGGAGGAGUUUUUGAAGUUACUUAAGGAUCAAGAGGAUGUUCUGCUUCCGCUGAUAAGAGCAAGGAAGCAAGUUAAGGAGAGUAAAUUGAACAAUGUUAAUACUGUUGUUUCAUAUGCAGAUACUCUUUUAGAGUUAGAGUAGCCUGAGGAGAAACGGAAGCUGAGUGAGAAUGAAAUGGUUAAUCUUUGUUCAGAGUUUUUGAACGGUGGGACAGACACUACUUCCACUAGUUUGGAGUGGAUUAUGGCGAAUGUGGUGAAGUACCCAGAAGUGAAGGGGAGGCUUGUGGAGGAGAUUCGGGAGGUGAUGGGUGGUGAUGAAAAUGGAGAGAAGGAGGAAGUGAAAGAGGAAGACUUGCAGAAACUUUGGUAUUUGAAGUGUGUGGUUUUGGAAGGGUUGAGGCGUCAUCCAUCGGGGAAAUUUCCGUUGCCACACGCGGUGAAAGAGGAUGUGGUUUUGGACGGUUAUUUGGUGCCUAAAAACGGGACGGUGAAUUUCUUUCUGGCGGAGAUGGCGUUGGAUCGUCGUGUUUGGGAGGACCCAUUGGAGUUUAAGCCAGAAAGGUUUUUGAAGGAUGAGACUUUUGUCAUUCCAGGAAGUAAAGAGAUAAAGAUGAUGCCGUUUGGAGCUGGAAGAAGAAUUUGUCCCGGACUUAAUUUAGCUUUGCUCCAUUUGGAAUAUUUUGUGGCUAAUUUGGUUUGGAAUUUCGAUUGGAAGGUUCCAGAGGGCGGGCAUGUUGAUUUGACGGAAAUACAAGAAUUCACUAUGGUGAUGAAAAAUCCAGUGCAAGUUCAUAUUUCUCCUAGGAUAUAGAUUAUGUGUGUUAUGUGUAACGAUGUGGAGUAUUUCUCCUAGUUCAUAUUUCUAAUUUUUUAAUACUUACAACAAGUAUCCUAAAGACACUCUUUAGUAUUUGACGAUUUGCCAUUCUCAAGUCUUCACUUGCAUCAGAUAUUGACUUCAUAUGCAAAUUAGAUAACACUGUUUUCAUUGAUCUUAUGGUUGUAUAGUGUGAUAUGCAAAGAUUGUGGAGGCCAAAUUGAACUUCUUAUUAGACAGGCAGAAGAUUAUAACACAGAGAAGGUUGUGGACGACUGGAGGUGACGUGACGUAUAUAAUUUACAAAUGAUUUUUAUAAUGAGCGUACUUGGAACACUCUUUAAAUAUUCUAAAAUACGAAUUAUUCUUUUAAGAAAAUCGAAUAUUUUGAUUUUUAAUACAUUGAAUACACGUAUUUUCAAUACUGCUUAUUAUAUAUGGUUUUUAGAGAGUGCUCCAUAACACUAGUAAACAUUUAUCUUUUUAAAAAGUAGGAAUAAAAAAAUUGAGUAAUCAGAAAAAUUGAUGACCAAUCAUAAGUGUGAAUAAAAAUAGAGCGAAUAGAUAAAUUGAUCCUCAAAAUUAUAAAACAUCUAUCAAAAUAGUCAUUGAUUUUUUUGCCACAAAUUCUUCCAUAACUCUUGUGGUUAUAAUUUGUAAAAAAAAAAAAAAAAACUUUUGUUGGUAUAAGGUAGGACCAGCAUUCUAUAUUGAGGCUGUAAGAAAAAAACAAAACAUUCUACAUUGAGGUGACAUUGACAAUGACGUAGAAACAACCUUCAAUUAUAUCACGUCACAGUAACAACAGAGAGAUCAUUUUUCAAAUGAAUGUCAUGGAAAAUUUCCAUUUCCAUUGGAAAUCAUACUAGAAAACAGAGAGAAAAUUAUUACCUGAUAGCAAUAUCACUUAGUUAGCUAUUGCUUGCUGCGCAAGUAACUGAGCUUAAUUAGGAUUAUAUUUCUCUUUAGUUUGUCCAUAGUAGUUUAUCAUGCAUCUAGAUUCUUGUAUAUAUACCGAUUGUAAGCUCUCAUUUGAUCAAUAACAAUUCAUUCUAUUCAAUCCACUUAGGUUGACUUGUUGGUAUUGGCUUGAGAUCUGGGAGUGUACUCCUCCUCCUCGAGGUCUCAGGUUCGAUUUUCUUCGGUGUCAAUUUGAGUGGGCUAAUUUGGCUUCUUCAAAAAAAAUAAAUUCAUUCUAUUCAUUUUACUUGGUUUCCGUAUAAAAAUAUCUCAUCUUGUAAUUGUGGUUCAAUAGAAAUUAGAUUGAAUGAAAAGACUUCAAGGAAAAUGCUCAUAUACAAGCAAUAGAAGAAAUCUGCUAUAACAUAUUCAGUUAGAGAUUACAGUUCAAAAGCCUAUCUAAUUAAUCAACUCCAAGUGUGUAACAGUUUUAGAAGAACACUUCUAUGGUCAAAACCCCAAAUAUAAUUCAUUCGCACAUUCACAAAACUUGAAAAAGGUACAAUAGAAAACAAUUGAAUAAAUCCUAAAAAAAAUUGAAUAUAUAAUGUGUAUUUUUGACAUAAUUAAAUAAAAUGUAUUGUUAUGUGUGUGUGGCCACAUAAUUUUUAUUUUGGCAUGUGAUCAUAGAAAUAUUUCUCACAAUUUUAAAUAACAUUUUACUAUUUAAGAGGUGUAUUUGUAAUACAAAAAAUAAUGAGCUAGUUUAAUAGAUUCCUACAAACCUAUCUAACUAGGACCACUCAUUUUUGUACACAAUAAGGACAGUACAGACAUAUUGUCGUGCCACAAAAGUAAUCCACUUCAGAUCAUAUAUUAUGGGUACUGUUUUGUCUAACCAAAAAGGACAAUAUUUAAUUUUGAAAAAACAUAUUUUAUUCUUAUUAAGAAUUUUGAAAUUUUAUUUCAAAGAUUUAUAUAUAACGAUAAAAUUAACAUAUUAACAAUUAUAAAAUAUUCAAAUGUCUAGAUGAAAUAAAUAAUUUUGUACUAUUUAGAUAAAAACAUUUUAAAUCAAAAUGACAUUUUUAUAGCUAUGAAUGAAAACAAUUUUUUUUUAAUGAAGUUAGUUAUCCACCAUUCAACUCAAAGAUUUUUAAUGUUAUGUACAUCUUCUGUUAAUGAAGUUAGUAUGAUGAUCUACAACUGCAAGUAACAUCCAAAGUCUUGUCCAUGGAACCAUUGAUAAUUAAUGUCAUCCCCCAUGAUUCCCACAACUUCAUGGUUUACACCAAAGAUGUAUUGUAUAACUAAAAUUUGUACAUUUGCCCCGAUGUCCAUGCUGGGUAAGUACUAAUGGAAAUAAAGUUUCAAUCUUUUUUGCAUUUUUGGUAUAGCAUGUGAGAAUAAACGACCAAUUUUGGGUUUGUUACAAUUUUGGACAUGUAAUCUUUGUUUUUGUGAAGUGUUGCCUUUUUUUGUUUCCCCCUUCUAUUAGUGUUGGUUAUAAUGUUGUUUUUUGUUUUGUAGGUUACUUGCUAUAUUUUGUGUGAUUAAUUUGUUAAACUAUUUGGAUCUAGGAGCAAUAGCUAGUGUUGUUUUAUGGAUUUAGAAAUAAUAUCUUGAAAAGAAAUUUACCAUCCAAGAGUUUAUCGAUCCGCUCUCUUUAAAAUAUUUCGUUUAAAUCUGAUCCAACGAAUUAUCUGAAAAUUUUCGAUUAUAUCCACUUGCACUUUUGGACUUUAACAUUUUCAGGUGAUAAAAAAUAUAUAUCUUUUUGACCCAGACCCAAGCCCGGUCAAACAACAGCGUCGCGCGUGAUAAAUAUAUUUUCUUGAGCGCUCACUGCAUUCACAAAAGUGUUUUCUCUCCUAUGUGAAACAUUCUUUCAAUUCCUACAACACUAGUUCUAUCCAAUGAGACUUUGUGUUACUCUUCCAUCUUGCACUCAUUAAUCUGGUGUUCAAACAACUAGCAAUGGUGUUAAUAAGGGAACAUGCACUGAAUAUGCUGCUGCUACUUGGACUUCUACUACAGGAAUACAGUAAGAUAUAAUGCAAUUAACACCUUCCUUUUUCAGAACAAGAAAUCAAGAACUCAUGGUUUAGAAAAAAGGUUUUACCUUUAAAAUUCAAUGCCAAAUGAAAAAGCACUCGUGCAAGAUAUCCUAAAAUUAUUGCAACAAGGGAAUAAGCAAAAUGGGGAUCAUCCUUGGUUACAACCAAGUUUUCGUCCAGGCUAGGCUCAAGUAAUCACAUUUGGGAAUAUUUGAGUUCAAAUCGUGGCUGAAGCAAUCCUUGGUGUUUUGUUCGAUGCCCAUAAAUCCAACGCCUUAAGAUUUUAUGCUAAGAUGUGGUGUCCACAACUCACUUGUAUGGUUGCUUUGGUGCCUACGUGGAUGAUCUUUGGGACUUCCCUCGUGAGCCAACACUUGACUAGACUUUACUCAUCUCUCAACCAAACUACAAUUAUUAGGACCUCUUUUCCUUAGAAACUAGAGGGAUAAGACCAAAAAUUAAUUAUUGUAAUUUUAAUGUAUCUAUUACCAGUCUAACGCACAUGCUAGAUAUUCUAGGUAAUUUCUAGAAUAAGUGUUACAAUAUUUAUCUCAAUACCUAAAAUGGCUACCAAGUUAUUUUUUUGACGGAAGGGUUUGGGAUGGUGGAAGGCUAUGAAUUUGAACUCCCUUUAUAACAUCACAGUAAAUUACAAAUGAGUUGACAAAGAACUUACUAACAAUCCCUUCCUUUUAGUUAUUAAAAAAAAAACACCUUUUAGAAUGUAACUAUUUUUUUUAGGGCCUAAUGAAUCUCUGGUUCUUUUUGUUGGGCCGAAAUUUCAUAUUAAUUUUUUGGGAUCUAGGAUGGUCGUCCUCCUUACCCUGCCUCAGAUACGGCCCUGAUGCGAUCUAGUCCCAAUUUUUUUUGUUUAGAUGUGGGGUACUUAUAACUUUGUUAAAUAUUGAGAUUGGGAUUACGCAGUAUUAGAAUUUCGGGGUUUAUGUUUGAUCAUGUUGGUGUUAAUAGAUUAAUUAGGCAAAAUUUGAGUGUCAUAUUACAAAUUUACAAUCGAAUGUUGAUGUUGGUAGCAACUUCUUAUGAAUCCAAACACAUCAAAAUUUUUGCGAUGCAGAAUGAGCUUAAGAAAGAAAAAAGAAAGCGAAGAGUAUUAAAUAAAAUUGCUGCAAAUUUGGAACAUGAUUGAAGUAAAAGAUACUUAACUGAAUAGACUUGAUAGCAGGUACGUCCAAGGAAAGAGCAAAGCAAAUGUAAUUUAUUCUGAUAAAAUAGAAACAAUGACGGUGCACCUAAACAAAUAGGGUCAAAUGCAUCUAAAAGUCCUUUAAGUUUUUUAUUUCUUCCAAAGUGGUCCUUUAAGUUUCAAAGGUCCCAAAUAAGUCCUUUUAGUUUUUGAAUUGUUUCAAACAAGUCUUAUUGUAGAUAGCAUAGUUGGUAAUUGUUUCCUUGAACUCAUCUUUGGUACCAAAUCUGGCUCCUAACACUCACUUAAAAUUAGUCAUCUUUUUAGGCAUGGUAAAUGGUGGAUAAUGCUAUUUGUUGUUAUCAUGUAAAUCAUCAUCAUCAUCCUCGAAAAGGACUUGUUUGAAACGAUUCAAAAACUAAAAGGAUUUGUUUGGGACUUUUGAAACUUAAAGGACCAUUUUGGGACUUUUGAAACUUAAAGACGACUUUGAGAAAAACGAAAAACUUAAAGGACCUUUAGAUACAUUUGACCAAACAAAUAGUAAUGUAGUAAUUUUAUUUUAAAUAGAUUCAAUGAAAGGAAUGAUAAUAGUGGGGAGCAGAUUCUUGAAAAGGAUGGAGAACGACUCAUCACCAACUAUUAUAUAUCAAGACAACAAUUGUAGUCAAAUUUGUUUAGUUGUUUUUGUGUUAGUGAAUUCUAGAGUCCUUUAUUAUAAGAAGAAAAACGAAUAAAAAAUAUCAAACCAAGACAAUAAUUAAUAGUUGCAACAUUUUGAAUGUUUUUAUAAUUAUACUUUCAUCGAAAUUUGUAAAAUAUUAAAUAUACUAUUAAUAUUAAAAAGAGAAAUAUUAAACGAAGGUUAAAAAGUCUUUUAACUAAUAAAUAUAUUUUAUAAGUUGUGACUUUUUUCUUUUAAACAUAAUUAAUUUUUUUCUUCUUCUUCUUAAUACCCGUGGGAGCAUUAUUUUUUGAAAAAUGCUAGGAUCCCACUUCCUAACACACUAUUUUAACACACACCAAUAAAAAUUAGCCAUCAUCUACUUUUUUAAUUUCUUUACAUGCUACCGGUUCAUUUUUGUAACCAAUUAAUUUAUCAUUUUAUUAUUAUUAUUAUUAUUAUUAUUAUUAUUAUUAUUAUUAUUAUUAUUAUCAUUAUUAUUAUUAUUUAUUUUAAAUUUUCAUCUCUCAACACUCAACUUCUCCACCAAAACCGUACAUGCUUCUCAUAUGCCAAAAAAAUAAUAUCAAAGUUGCUGCUUUUUGCUCAAAUUAAAUUGAAUGGAAAUGGAAAGUUGAUGGGAGUUGUAGCUUUUCAUGUUUCUGACCCAUCAAAAAUGAAGUUGUUGCACAAAUAUACCCGAAGAUUUUUUUUCCAUUGAAGCCUCAAAAGCCAAAACAUCGUAUAGAACAUAGAUCUGGAAAAUUUCAUCAACGGCCAAGUCAACGACGGCCACCGGAGCUUUCAACAAUGACGAUACGUUGGCAGUUAGUUAAUAGAGACGAGAUGCGGCAGAUUGAACCAUGAGAGAAAGAUGUGUACUAAUUGAAAUGAGAAGAUGCGAUCCACAUAUUGAAAGACGAUGAGAUUGCAAUUAAAUUCUAUAAAAAAAUAAAUAAGAAUUUUUAAACAACGUGUUAGACCGUUGAAUAGGUAAAGAGAUAAAGUAAGUUGAUGAGGUGGUUAAUUUUUAUUGGCAUGUGUUAGAGAAUGUGAUCCUAGCCUUUUUUAUUUAUUUUUUAUUUGUGCAGAAUGGAUGCUUGAGUCAAGAAGUGGUGAAAACUAAUAUGAUGUUAAUUGUGCUGUGUAUAUGCAUGCAUACAAUCUCUCAUACGGAGUGGAAUUUGAAACCACUUCAAAAAUAUAUCAUGGUUUUGUAUUUCUGUUUCUGUCUUGACCACUUAAUUCCCCUUAAAAAACAAUAAUGUCAAUUUUCAGCAAUAAAACAAUAAUGUCAAUUUGUAGUGUUUAUCUAGUGCACGAAUUGCGAAAAAGGUUACUGUGCUUCGGAUUUUGCAUUUCCACUUUAAAUGAAAAUGGGACAAGUUGGCAAUUAAAAUUAGUUUUUUGGGGAACUUCUAUGGUACACUCACAAUUUUGAGUGUACCGGUACUCUUGUUUCAUAAAAUAUAUAAAUUAAAGAUCACUUUAAUGAAAUAAAAAGGUAUUUGUCAAUAUUUAUAUUUUAGAAAACAUCAUUUCAUAAGAAAAACCAUCAUUUCAUUGUUUAUAAGGAUCAUAUUACAAAAUUUACAUUUUGUCAUAAAAAAUAAUUAAUAUUCAUUGUUAUGAGUAAUAAAAAUUCUUAAAAAUUAAAUUUUAUUUCGUCGAAGCUUUUGAUAUAUAAAAUUUAAUUAUCUUAGUUGUCAAUGAUAGAAAAUAAUUAUUUUUCUUCAAAAAAACAACUCAUUUAUUAUUAAUUUUAUGACUUGGUGUACCGAUACACCCAAAUUUAUUGGAUGUACCAUAAAAUAUGCCUAAUUAAAAUGAUUAAUUGCACAAACAAAAUGCAUCAAAUUACCUUAAAUCACAAAUUAUAAGUUGUUUUUAAGAAAAAAAUUAUCCCAAAUUUCCUAUUGUAUACCCUUGACUAUUUUUUUUUUUAACAAACGCUUGACUAUUUAAUAUUCUCUUUUCUUUCAAUUAUUUAAAUUUUUAUUCCUUAUGCCAUUAAGGAAAUAUAUUUUUGUAAAACUACAUAUAAUAUCAUUUUUUUUCAUAUAACAUUGACUAUAUUCUUAAAAAUAAUCAAAACUAUUUAUAAUUUGGAGGGGAAAGAUAAUUGUUUUGACAUUAUAAUAUUUAGGGGUCAUGAGUAGAAAUAAUUAUUUUCCCUAACUUCACUUUAAGAGUGUGUUUGGUUUAGGAGAGAAGUUGUGAAGAGAGAGUAUAGGAAGAGAUAAAUAGGUGAGAAAUAUAGUAGAUUUGACCUAUUGUUUGGUAUAAGAGAGAAAUGAAAGAAAUAGAGAAGAGAGAAGUGUGUUAAGCUUUUGAAAGGCCAAAAUAUCCCUACUAAACUUUAAUAUACAAUUUUAUUAUAUAUGAAUUAAUUUCUUAUAAAAAUUGAUAUAAUUUUUUACAUUAAUUUAAUUAAGAAACUAAUUAAUUUUUUUACAAAGAAAUUUGAUAACUUAUUUGCUUAAUUAAUUAAUUAUUUACAAUUUUACAAUUUAUUCCGUUAAACUAUUUCAUUAGUUAACUAACUACUAGUUUAACUUUAUUUAUUAUAAUAAAAGAGGAUUCAAAUAAAGAGUUAAAGGCAAGAGAGUUGCGUAUUAGUUUUUGUUUUUACCUACUACAACAAAAACCAUGAAAACAAUACAAUAGUGGUAACAAAAAAAAAAGGACAAUAGUUUUAUAUCAGCCACAAUAUCAGGGAUAGUUUUGGAAAUGCUUAAAUAUGUAUUUCAUCCUUGCAAUUAGGGUAGUUUAAAAAUUGGUCUAUGUAAUCGCUAAUUCUGGCAAUUUACCCUUGCAUUGUUUAAUCAUUUAAAAUUUCGUCCCUCUCCCCACUUAAUUAAUGCCACGUCACUAAUUUGAUGACGUGACAAUCACUGUCACACAUGAAAUUCCAAUUUUACCCCUGGGUUUCCAAUUCUUUCUUCAAUAUUGUGUCCUCUUCUUAAGGGCAAAAUUGGAAUUUCAUGUGUGGUAGUGAUUGUCACGUCAUCAAAUUAAUGAUGUGGCAGUGAUUAAGUUGGUCAAAAGAUGAAAUUUUAAGUGAUGGCAAAAUAGCACAAUUAGUCCCUUAACUUUAUUUUAGGUAACACUUUCGUCCUUUAUUUUUUUUUGUCACGAUUUAGUCCUUUAUGUUAUAAAAUGACAAUAUCUUAUCAUUUUUUAUGAGAUUUUUUUCAAAGAAAUUUGAUUUUCUAUGCUUGUAUGAUGAAGAUUUACGUUUGCCUAUGAGUUUGAUGAUUUUUUUUGGAGUUUUUGAUUAUUUUUUUCAUGAAAAAGGAUAACUAUGUUGUUAUUUUAUAACAUAAAAGACUAAAUCGUGACAAAAGAAGAUAAAGGACGAAAGUGUUACCUAAAAUAAAGUUAAGGGACUAAUUGUGUAAUUUUGCCUUAAAUGAUUAAUGAUUGCAAGACUAGUUUGCAACGAAUAGCGAAUACAUGAACCAAUUUUUAAACGACCCCUAAUUGGAAGGAUGAAAUACAUAUUUAAGCCUUUUGAAAAAGAGCAAAAAGUUCACAUCUCUACUCUAUUUCUUGGCAAUUCAAGAGAAAUAAAACAGGCAUGGGUCCCAUCAUAUUUGGACUCUCUCUUCAAUCUCUAUUCUCAACCAAACAUGAGAAGUUGUUUCUCUAUAUCCAACUUCUCUCUCCCCUCUUUCUCUCUUUCUUAUUUCUCUUCUACCAAGCAGAGUUAAAAUGAAAGUUAAAUGCUAACUUGUGGCAUCAAGGACACAUGUUAAGACAUUCAUUAUAAAAAUUAUGUAUUGAAAUUCGUGCAUUUAACUUCUUAGUAGUUAAAAUAUUAUGUUUUUCAAUGCAGAGUUAGCCGUGAAACCCCGAUACUUCAAAAUGGAUGACGUAUCGUAUCCCCUGCGUAUCUUGCACCGAUACUUGCUUGAUACUUCCUGAUACGUAUCAGAAGAGUAUCCGAAGAUUAAAUUUUAUUUUUUUAAAAAAUAAUUAUCCGAUACGUCCCGAUACGUAUCAGGAGAGUAUCCGAUAAUUAUCCUGGAUUGAUAUCUGCCCUGAUACUUCCCAAUUAAUGUUAACUAAAAUAACUUAACUAUUGAGUACUGAUGCAUUUUUUUAUGGAUAUAGUGCUUCUUUUUUGGAUUGAUAUAGUAUAACACUAACAAUGUUCCUUUUGGAUAUAGUAUAUCCAUGAUGUGCUCUUUUUGGGAUAUAUUUUCUAAUUAAUUGACUAAUCAUCAUUCUUUUAAUCGUCAAUAUUAUUUAUAUUAAUGUGGAUGUGCUACGAGCCUGACUGGUUUCUUUUAUUUGUUAAUAUAUUUGCAUAUUAAAAAAAAUGGUUAUAAUUAUAUUGUACAUUUUAUUAUAUAAUUUUUUUUAUUAACGUAUCCUAACCGUAUCAUAUCUUGAUUUUUGAAAUUUUUUCGUAUCGACGUAUCAAUGCAGUAUCGUAUCUCGUAUCCGAGCUUCAUAUAGAGUUAGUCAUAUGUGCUCUUAAGAUACAAGAUAACAUGACCCGGAAUGAAAUUUGUUUGUUUGUAUGAGAAGGAGAGACGUGUAACACCACAUCCAUAAAUUCAUAAUCAUAACACCACAUCCAUAAUCAUAUCAUGAUUCCUUUAUAUCAACCCUCACCAUUCUCAUUUUUUGUGUCACACACAUAUCCAUCGUCACAAAAGAGUAAAGUUGCACCAAACAUUUACGUAAAUAUGGAAACAUGGUUCAUCGUCCUCGUUACGCUAUGCAUCAUCUUCCUUAUCAGAGCCAUCCUCUCCUUCUUCACAACCACCGUACCCCUCCCUCCCGGCCCUCUACACAUCCCCAUCAUCACAAACUUCCAAUUGCUCCAAAAAUCAAUCUCCCAACUUGAACCUUUUCUCAAAACUCUCCAUGCCAAACAUGGUCCUAUCAUCACUGUCCAUAUCGGUUCUCGACCUUCCAUUUUCAUCAACGACCAUGCUCUGGCUCACCAUGUUCUCGUUCAAAACUCAGCCAUCUUCUCGGAUCGCCCCGUAGCUCUUCCUACUUCCAUAAUGUUGUCCAGCAACCAACACAACAUCAGCUCCGCUUUUUAUGGCCCAACAUGGCGUACCCUCCGUCGUAACCUUGCUUCCGAGAUGCUUCAUCCAUCCAAAACCAAAUCGUUCUCAGAAAUUCGGAAGUGGGUCUUACACACUCUCAUCAACCGUCUCAAAACUGCAUCG
rnacentral:lncRNA from 1 species